rnacentral:rRNA from 2 species
AAGAGUACGUGAAACCCUCCAGGGGUAAACCUGUGAAACCCAAAAGAUCGAAUGAGGAGAUUCAUCGUCAGCGUAUUCAGUAUUAAUGCAGGCUAUGAUGUGAUAAUAGAAUCCUUGUGGUCACUAGAUUAUACUUGCUUGUAUUAUUUUUGCUGGGUAUGUCGGCGUGCACUUCUCCUCUAGUAGAACGUCGCAACCCGUUGGAUGUUUAUCUAUGGCCUGAGUGGUAGCCUUUGAUAUUAUUAUUAUAUUGAAGACCUUUGGUGUCCUGAUAAACUGUCUGACGGUAUUCAUAUGGUAUUGAGCCGCAAUUUUUUGCGUUAGACUUAUCACAAGUAUGGCUUUUUAUUAGCAGUGGGGAUCUAAUGCCGUCGAUGAAGAAAAGCCUGCUGUUAGCUAAUUACUGUUUUUAACUGGUUUAUUUACUGGUAAGCGAUCCUCCUGUUUUGGGUAC